AAAUCGGCAUGGGGAAAGUCUACCGACAACAGCGCGGAAAACACACCGCCGG
rnacentral:RNase_MRP_RNA from 17 species